GACGAACGCUGGCGGCGUGCUUAACACAUGCAAGUCGAGCGAUGAAGUUCCUUCGGGAAUGGAUUAGCGGCGGACGGGUGAGUAACACGUGGGUAACCUGCCUCAUAGAGGGGAAUAGCCUUUCGAAAGGAAGAUUAAUACCGCAUAAGAUUGUAGCUUCGCAUGAAGUAGCAAUUAAAGGAGUAAUCCGCUAUGAGAUGGACCCGCGUCGCAUUAGCUAGUUGGUGAGGUAACGGCUCACCAAGGCGACGAUGCGUAGCCGACCUGAGAGGGUGAUCGGCCACAUUGGGACUGAGACACGGCCCAGACUCCUACGGGAGGCAGCAGUGGGGAAUAUUGCACAAUGGGGGAAACCCUGAUGCAGCAACGCCGCGUGAGUGAUGACGGUCUUCGGAUUGUAAAACUCUGCCUUCAGGGACGAUAAUGACGGUACCUGAGGAGGAAGCCACGGCUAACUACGUGCCAGCCGCCGCCGUAAGAC
rnacentral:rRNA from 1 species